UAAUACGUAGGGGGCAAGCGUUGUCCGGAUUUAUUGGGCGUAAAGCGCGCGCAGGCGGUUGUUUAAGUCGGGUGUCUAAACCUUGGGCUCAACCUGGGGACGCAUCCGAAACUGGGCAACUGGAGUGUAGGAGAGGAAAGUGGAAUUCCACGUGUAGCGGUGAAAUGCGUAGAGAUGUGGAGGAACACCAGUGGCGAAGGCGACUUUCUGGCCUAUAACUGACGCUGAGGCGCGAAAGCGUGGGGAGCAAACAGGAUUAGAUACCCUGGUAGUCCACGCCGUAAACGAUGCAUGCUAGGUGUUAGGGGUUUCGAUACCCUUGGUGCCGAAGUAAACACAGUAAGCAUGCCGCCUGGGGAGUACGCUCGCAAGAGUGAAACUCAAAGGAAUUGACGG
rnacentral:rRNA from 1 species